GGUGGAGCGAUUUGUCUGGUUAAUUCCGAUAACGAACGAGACUCUAGCCUACUAAAUAGUUGUCGGAUUUUUGGUCCGACGUACUUCUUAGAGGGACAAGGGGUAUCUAGCCCCACGAGAUUGAGCAAUAACAGGUCUGUGAUGCCCUUAGAUGUCCGGGGCUGCACGCGCGCUACACUGAAGGAGUCAACAUGCAUUGAGACCUAGUCUGGAAAGACCGGGUAACCCAAUGAAACUCCUUCGUGAUUGGGAUAGGGAAUUGUAAUUAUUUCCCUUGAACGAGGAAUUCCUAGUAAAUGCGGGUCAUCAUCUCGCGUUGAAUACGUCCCUGCCCUUUGUAC
rnacentral:rRNA from 1 species